GUGAGGAAUAUUGGUCAAUGGCCGUAAGGCUGAACCAGCCAAGUAGCGUGCAGGAUGACGGCCCUAUGGGUUGUAAACUGCUUUUAAACGGGGAUAAAGUGAGCCACGUGUGGUUUAUUGCAGGUACCGUUUGAAUAAGGACCGGCUAAUUCCGUGCCAGCAGCCGCGGUAAUACGGAAGGUCCGGGCGUUAUCCGGAUUUAUUGGGUUUAAAGGGAGCGUAGGCGGAGCGUCAAGCCAGCAGUGAAAUGUAGCGGCCCAACCGCUGCACUGCUGUUGGAACUGGCGCCCUUGAGUGCACACGAGGCAUGCGGAAUUUGUGGUGUAGCGGUGAAAUGCUUAGAUAUCACGAAGAACUCCGAUUGCGAAGGCAGCUUACUGUAGCGCCACUGACGCUGAAGCUCGAAAGUGCGGGUAUCGAACAGGAUUAGAAACCCGAGUAGUCC
rnacentral:rRNA from 1 species